rnacentral:tRNA from 1 species
GGGGAUUUAGCUCAGCGGUGGAGCGCUUGCCUAGCAAGCGCAAGGCCCUGGGUUCGGUCCCCAGCCCCG